AACGAACGCUGGCGGCAUGCCUAACACAUGCAAGUCGAACGAGACCUUCGGGUCUAGUGGCGCACGGGUGCGUAACGCGUGGGAACCUGCCCUUAGGUUCGGAAUAACUCCCCGAAAGGGGUGCUAAUACCGGGUAAUGUCUUCGGACCAAAGAUUUAUCGCCUUUGGAUGGGCCCGCGUUGGAUUAGCUAGUUGGUAGGGUAAAAGCCUACCAAGGCGACGAUCCAUAGCUGGUCUGAGAGGAUGAUCAGCCACACUGGGACUGAGACACGGCCCAGACUCCUACGGGAGGCAGCAGUGGGGAAUAUUGGACAAUGGGCGAGAGCCUGAUCCAGCAAUGCCGCGUGAGUGAUGAAGGCCUUAGGGUUGUAAAGCUCUUUUACCCGGGAUGGUAAUGACAGUACCGGGAGAAUAAGCUCCGGCUAACUCCGUG
rnacentral:rRNA from 1 species